GGAAUCUUCCACAAUGGGCGAAAGCCUGAUGGAGCGACGCCGCGUGGGGGAUGAAGGUUUUCGGAUCGUAAACCCCUUUUCUCAGGGAAGAGUAAGGACGGUACCUGAGGAAUAAGCAUCGGCUAACUAAGUGCCAGCAGCCGCGGUAAUACGGAGGAUGCUAGCGUUGUCCGGAAUCGCUGGGCGUAAAGGGUCCGUAGGCGGUCUGUUAAGUCUCCUGUGAAAGUUCAGGGCUCAACUCUGAAAGGUCGGGGGAUACUGGCAGACUUGAGACUGUCAGAGGCAGGUGGAAUUCCCGGUGUAGUGGUGAAAUGCGUAGAUAUCGGGAGGAACACCAGUGGCGAAAGCGGCCUGCUGGGACAGUUCUGACGCUGAGGGACGAAAGCGUGGGUAGCAAA
rnacentral:rRNA from 1 species